rnacentral:rRNA from 1 species
UACAUGGGGUGCAAACGUUGCUCGGAAUUAUUGGGCGUAAAGCGCGCGUAGGCGGUUAUCUAAGUCGGAUGUGAAAGCCCUCGGCUUAACUGAGGAAGUGCAUCCAAAACUGAGUAGCUAGAGUACGAAAGAGGGUCGCGGAAUUCCCGGUGUAGAGGUGAAAUUCGUAGAUAUCGGGAGGAACACCAGUGGCGAAGGCGGCACUCUGGGCCGGAACUGACGCUGAGGAGCGAAAGCGUGGGGAGCGAACAGG